rnacentral:rRNA from 1 species
GCCCACUGAAAAAUUUUUAAAUGGCCGCAGUAAUUUGACUGUGCAAAGGUAGCAUAAUCAUUAGUUUUUUAAUUAAAAGCUUGUAUGAAAGGUUGGACGAAGUAAAAUCUGUCUCUAUUUAAUUUAAAUUAGAAUUUAAUUUUUAAGUUAAAAAGCUUAAAUUUUAAUAAAAGACGAGAAGACCCUAUAGAACUUUAUAAUUUAUUUUAAUAUUAAUAAAUUAAGAUUUAUUUAAGUUUUAUUAAUUAAAUUAUUUUAUUGGGGUAAUAAAAAGAUUAAAUGAAUUCUUUUUUAUAAUUAACAUUUAUUUAUGGAAUAAAUGAUCCAUUUUUAGUGAUUAUAAGAUUAAGUUACCUUAGGGAUAACAGCGUAAUUUUUUUGAAGAGUUCAUAUCGAUAAAAAAGUUUGCGACCUCGAUGUUGGAUUAAAGAUUAAUUUAGGUGUAGAAGUUUAAAUUUUUGGUCUGUUCGACCAUUAAAUCUUUACAUGAUCUGAGUUCAGACCGGUGUAAGCCAGGUCGGUUUCUAUCUUUAUUAAAUUUAAAUAUUUUAGUACGAAAGGACCAAAUAUUUAAUAUAUUUAUAUUUUAUAUUUUGAAUAUUAAUAUUAUUUUGGCAGAUUAGUGCAAUAGAUUUAGAAUUUAUAAAUGUAAAUUAUAUUACAAAUAAUACUUGUUUUAUAUAGAUUUAUUAUUUUCUUUAAUUUGUAUAUUAUUAUUAUUAAUUUGUGUUUUAGUAGGAGUUGCUUUUUUAACCUUAUUAGAACGUAAAGUAUUAGGGUAUU